GAUGAACGCUGGCGGCGUGCCUAAUACAUGCAAGUCGAGCGAACGGACGAGAAGCUUGCUUCUCUGACGUUAGCGGCGGACGGGUGAGUAACACGUGGAUAACCUACCUAUAAGACUGGGAUAACUUCGGGAAACCGGAGCUAAUACCGGAUAAUAUUUUGAACCGCAUGGUUCAAAAGUGAAAGACGGUCUUGCUGUCACUUAUAGAUGGAUCCGCGCUGCAUUAGCUAGUUGGUAAGGUAACGGCUUACCAAGGCAACGAUGCAUAGCCGACCUGAGAGGGUGAUCCGCCCCACCGGAACUGAGACCCGGUCCCGACUCCUACGGGAGGCAGCCGUAGGGAAUCUUCCGCCAUGGGCGAAAGCCUGACGGAGCCACGCCGCGUGGGUGAUGAAGGUCUUCGGAUCGUAAAACCCUGUUAUUAGGGAAGAACCUAUGUGUAAGUAACUGUGCCCAUCUUGACGGUACCUAAUCAGAAAGCCACGGCUAACUACGUG
rnacentral:rRNA from 1 species